rnacentral:tRNA from 1 species
GCUUCCUUGGCUCAGUUGGUAGAGCGUUGGUCUCAUACAUGACAUGAGUGACUUUGUAGUCGCACAAUCCAAAGGUCGCCAGUUCGAGCCUGGCAGGGAGCA